GGAGCGGCGCGGAGCGGAGUGCGCGGAUCCCGGCGCGCUCCGCCCGGGACAGCGGGUGCCGCCGCCGCCGUCCGCCGCCCUGGGCGCAGUAUCUGAAGUUCUGCUCACCUUCAGAGAGCUAUAAGCACUGAGAUUCCCAGGAUGUAAGAAAUACAUGACUGUGUCAUGGAGCCAGCAGGUUUGCUGUUGAAGCUGAUGGUCGCAGCCGGCGCUGAAAUGCUUUAUUAAACGAAGUAGAGUGUAACAAUCCCGGGAGGUUGGAGUCAUUUGCGAGAACUUCCCCAUUUAUUGCUGCCUCUGCCAGAAAGUCACCAUUUGGGACAUUAGCGCACUGCAAACGGCUGCCAUGGCUAGCAAAAGAAAGUCAACAACUCCGUGUAUGGUGCGAACUUCUGAAGUAGUGGAGCAGGAAGCUGCUGAGGGCAUAGGAGCUCCUAAAGAAAAGAGGACUGCCGCACCGCAGCAGGACGCUAAAAAAAGCUGGCCUGCAGAAAGCUCGGUAAAAGACUGUGAAGUCAUUGAGGCAAAGCCCCCAGCUGAAAAUCAAUCUAAGAAACCCCAGGGUGGUUACGAAUGUAAAUACUGCCCUUACUCAACACAAAACUUAAAUGAAUUUACAGAGCAUGUUGACACUCAGCAUCCAAACGUCAUUCUCAACCCCCUGUAUGUCUGUGCUGAAUGUAACUUCACAACCAAAAAAUACGAUUCCCUAUCUGACCACAAUACAAAAUAUCACCCAGGAGAGAGUAAUUUUAAAUUGAAAUUAAUAAAGCGCAAUAAUCAAACUGUUUUAGAGCAGUCUAUCGAGACCACCACCAACAAUGUCGCUGUCGCUAGCAGUGGGUUAGAAAAUGCAGAGUGUGAUGACUCGCUUCGUGGGGCGAUUAGUGCAAGUAAAACCCCAGUGAUGAAAUUGGGAAAGCCUAAAGCGGAAACCAAGAAGGGUCCCAAAAAGCCAGAAGAGGGACUUAUGGAAAACCACAUGGACGGGACUCUCCCUCGCAUCAUAACUGAAGCUACUGAAGCUAUUGCUUGUAUAAAUGGAGACCUUCUCCACGAUGUGUUAGCUCACGUUAUGCCCUCUGUACAGCUACCACCAAAUAUUAACCUUGUCCCCAAGGUCCCGGUACCUCUGAACAGUACCAAAUAUAACUCUGCACUGGACACUAAUGCAACCAUGAUCAACUCCUUUAAUAAAUUUCCUUACCCAACACAAGCAGAGUUGUCAUGGUUGACAGCAGCGUCAAAACAUCCAGAGGAGCAAAUCCGAAUCUGGUUCGCUACUCAGCGUCUGAAGCAUGGUAUAAGUUGGUCUCCAGAAGAAGUGGAGGAGGCAAGAAAAAAGAUGUUUAAUGGUACUAUCCAGGCAGUUCCCCAAACCAUUACUGUGCUACCAGCUCCUUUGACAACUGCAAAAAUGCCCCAGCCUAUUAUCCAGACAGCUUUGCCUUGUCAGAUACUGGGCCAAACCGGUCUGGUUUUGACUCCGGUGUCAAAUGGUUCAACAGUUUCUUGUUCACCAAUUACACUUGCUGUUGCUCCUAAUCAGGGGCAAAAGAGAACAAUACAGACCUUGUCAAAUAUCCCGGAGGCCAAACGUCCACAUGUUGUUCAGGUGCCCGAGAUUCCUGCCAAGCUGACUGCUGCACCACUGACUCCAGCAAGUGAGCGAAAAAAGACAAAGGAGCAGAUAGCAGAACUGAAGGCCAGUUUUAUGGCAAGCCAGUUUCCUGAUGAUGCAGAAAUCUACCGGCUGAUAGAGAUGACAGGUCUCUCCAGGAGUGAGAUCAAGAAGUGGUUCAGUGACCACAGGUACAGAAGUCAACGGGGCGUUGUGCAUGUGAAUAAUGACUCUUUGGCAAAAGAUCAAAUAGUGACUUCAGCUGGUCGACCUUGCCGUUCAUUCCACCCAUAUGCAGAUUUUACACCUCAUAGAUUUAAAGAGAAAACCCAGGAGCAGCUUAGAGUCCUUGAAGAGAGUUUCCUAAGAUGCUCUUUUCCAACCCAAGGAGAACUGGACAGGCUUCGAGUGGAAACUAAACUGAGUAGGAGGGAGAUUGAUUCGUGGUUCUCCGAGCGGAGGAAGAUAAGGGACAGUAUGGAGCAAGCUGUUUUGGACUCGAUGGGGUCAUACAGAAAAAUUAAAGAUCAAGGAACCCAAAAUGGUGCAAUAAGCCAGGCAGAACUGCUGAACAGCUCUCAGCUGCCUGGCUCUUUAUCUGGGUCCUCUGCCACGUUUAAUAAAAAAACCCAAGAGCAGAUUCAUCUACUGAAAAGCACAUUUGCGAGAACCCAGUGGCCAUCACCCCAGGAGUAUGACCAGUUAGCAUCUCAAACUGGGCUCUCAAGAACUGAAAUUGUUCGCUGGUUCAAGGAAAACCGGUCAUCACUAAGAACGGGGUCGCUUAAAUGGAUUGAUCAGUACCAACAGCAGUAUGUUGCUGAUGGUUAUAAUGAGCAAAACCAGAAAAGGGGGUCAAAACACAUUGAGAGCCCAAAGAAUGGUAACGAGGUGUCUCGGCAGCAUUACCAGGAGCAUAAAAAACUAAAUGAAGAGAACGGGGGGAAACUAGUUGUGAGAUCAAAAAGAGACUGUGAACCACUGAAAGACUCUUUGUUGGGCAAUCAGGCAGAGAGCACGGACAGGUUGGAGUGCAACAGCCACGACGGCCAUGGCAGCGAGGAGAACGAGGAGCCGGCAGAUGUGAACUGGGUGGAGGUGACAGUGGGUGAGGAUGAUGCUGCAUCGGACUGUACGGAUAGCUGGAGUCAAACAGCACCUGAAGGCCAGGCAGAACUGGCAGACUUUGAUUCUGAAAGUAUAUCUGGAGACAAUUCCCACGUAUAGACAGGGUUUCAUCCUUAGAGCCAGCUGUAGUGCCUCUUCCCGUUGCUGGGCUCCAGGCUGAAGCCGGCGUGGGAUUUUCACCGGGUUGGCCGAGGCUGUUCCGCGGGCGUCGCGAAGCAGCGGCGGCGCCGUUUCCCCUAAAGUCAGCGAGGCGCGUCGGAGCCCCAGCCUCUAAAGCAACGAAGCCAGAUGGGGGAGGAAGCGACGCUCGGUACAGCAAUUAGAAAUUGCCGAUGAGCUGGGAUGAAGGCGAAGGGGCGAGAAAAGCCUGCAGGGCCCGGAGGCUCUUUGCUGGGUUCUGAUCAGCUGCACUGUCCUGCCAAUGAAGGGGAAACGCUGUUUGGAAAUAGAAGAAAAAUCUAUUUUUCUGCCUGGGGUGAGAUAGUGUGUUGCAACUCCCAAGUCUCAAACCACGCUCGCGGAGGCACAGCGAGAGAUUCUCUUGUGGAGCAUCAUCAUGGGACUGUUCAUAGUGCCAAAGUCCUACUACUGCAUUACAAAAAAAGAGAGAGAGAGAGAGAAAAAGGAUCCUUGUAUAUAGGUUUCUCCUUUGCAUCCUCUCCCACCCACUUUCCUGCCCAGCCUCUUCCUGUACUGGAACAAAUUUGUACAAUGUGGAAAUUUUGUUAACUUUUUAAUGGGGGCAAGUUAUUCUUGCAUAUCACGCUGCUGCAAAAUUUUUGGAUUGGUUUGGGGGAGGGAGGUGUGUUUUGUGGGGAGAGGAGGCUUUUUUUGAAGUGUUUUCGGAAACGUUUGGAAUCCCUUGGGUGCAGAUCGGCGCCUGGUCCCAGGUUCCCACCCCAGCGAAGGGGUUGUUCUGGCUUAGUUGGGGGCGAGGGGAUGUUUCGAGGCUUUUUGUUUUGUUUUAUGGCCAUCUGCUACCAGUUGAAGUAUUUGAAUCUCUGCUUUUCUGUGCUCCUAUGAAGCAAGGCUUAUCCAGCUCCUGUCCUUCACUUCUCACAAACCAGCACAGGCCAUGGUUCUCUGAAAAUCUUGCUAGAAUGCCUUUUUUUUUUUUAGCACUUUUUGUUUAAACAUGCAGUACAAUCCCCAAAGGGGUUGCAGUGAGGAAAUCAAGAUGCUUCAUGAGCUGAACUUGUUUGCGUUUCUUUGGUUGGUACAAAGAUGGACAAUAUAAACAAAGUCUGCCCUCCGGCUUUAGGUAUUGUAGCGCACAAAAGAGAUUCCUGAUUAACCCUUGCCACUAAAUUUUUAGAUCAGUUCUAGAUUCCCGAGUGCACUUUUUUUCAAAUAGUGCUAAUUUUCUUUGUGUGGGGGUGUCUGUGCGUGCAUGUAUGAAGAAAAAUGAGGCGCGUGUGUACGUGUGUGUACAAGGAAGCGCGGGUGAGACCUGGGUGACGUGUUACUCUGACUAGCUGUUUUUUGAAAACAUGCCCAUAUUUCAGUACACUGCACAAUUAUAAUGCUAGGGAGUUUGAAUAAAUCCAACUUUUCUAACUUGUUGCUCAUUUGUUGUAACUCAAUAAAACAAAGGCUAAACAUUUUGGUAA